rnacentral:rRNA from 1 species
GAUGAACGCUGGCGGCGUGCCUAAUACAUGCCAGUCGAGCGAACGGACGAGAAGCUUGCUUCUCUGAUGUUAGCGGCGGACGGGUGAGUAACACGUGGAUAACCUACCUAUAAGACUGGGAUAACUUCGGGAAACCGGAGCUAAUACCGGAUAAUAUUUUGAACCGCAUGGUUCAAAAGUGAAAGACGGUCUUGCUGUCACUUAUAGAUGGAUCCGCGCUGCAUUAGCUAGUUGGUAAGGUAACGGCUUACCAAGGCAACGAUGCAUAGCCGACCUGAGAGGGUGAUCGGCCACACUGGAACUGAGACACGGUCCAGACUCCUACGGGAGGCAGCAGUAGGGAAUCUUCCGAAAUGGGCGAAAGCCUGACGGAGCAACGCCGCGUGAGUGAUGAAGGUCUUCGGAUCGUAAAACUCUGUUAUUAGGGAAGAACAUAUGUGUAAGUAACUGUGCACAUCUUGACGGUACCUAAUCAGAAAGCCACGGCUAACUACGUG